UACGGAGGAGGCAAGCGUUAUCCGGAAUUACUGGGCGUAAAGCGUCCGUAGGCGGUCAUGCAAGUCUGCUGUCAAAGCAUGGAGCUUAACUCCAUAGAGGCAGUGGAAACUGAAUAGCUAGAGUUCGGUAGGGGUAGCGGGAAUUCCCAGUGUAGCGGUGAAAUGCGUAGAGAUUGGGAAGAACAUCGGUGGCGAAAGCGCGCUACUGGGCCGAAACUGACACUGAGGGACGAAAGCUAGGGGAGCGAAAGGG
rnacentral:rRNA from 1 species